rnacentral:rRNA from 1 species
CGGACGGGUGAGUAAUGUCUGGGAAACUGCCCGAUGGAGGGGGAUAACUACUGGAAACGGUAGCUAAUACCGCAUAACGUCGCAAGACCAAAGAGGGGGACCUUAGGGCCUCUUGCCAUCGGAUGUGCCCAGAUGGGAUUAGCUAGUAGGUGGGGUAAUGGCUCACCUAGGCGACGAUCCCUAGCUGGUCUGAGAGGAUGACCAGCCACAUGGAACUGAGACACGGUCCAG